GACGAACGCUGGCGGCGUGCUUAACACAUGCAAGUCGAACGGAAAGGCCCCUUUGGGGGUGCUCGAGUGGCGAACGGGUGAGUAACACGUGAGUAACCUGCCCUUGACUUCGGGAUAACUUCAGGAAACUGGGGCUAAUACCGGAUAGGAAUCCUUGCUGCAUGGUGGGGGUUGGAAAGCUUCGGCGGUUUUGGAUGGACUCGCGGCUUAUCAGCUUGUUGGUGGGGUAGUGGCUUACCAAGGCUUUGACGGGUAGCCGGCCUGGGAGGGCGACCGGCCACAUUGGGACUGGGAUACGGCCCAGACUCCUACGGGAGGCAGCAGGGGGGAAUAUUGCACAAUGGGCGGGAGCCUGAUGCAGCAACGCCGCGGGCGGGAUGACGGCCUUCGGGUUGUAAACCGCUUUCAGCAGGGGCGAAGCUUGUGGUGACGGUACCUGCAGAAGAAGCACCGGCUAACUACGUG
rnacentral:rRNA from 1 species